rnacentral:misc_RNA from 1 species
GAAAUGCGAUAAGUAAUGUGAAUUGCAGAAUUCAGUGAAUCAUCGAAUCUUUGAACGCACCUUGCGCUCCUUGGUAUUCCGAGGAGCAUGCCUGUUUGAGUGUCAUGGAAUUCUCAACUCUAUUUGCUUUUGUGAAUAGAGCUUGGAUUUGGAGGUUUAUUGCUGGUACUUGUGAUCGGCUCCUCUUGAAUGCAUUAGCUCGAACCUUUGCGGAUCAGCUAUCGGUGUGAUAAUUGUCUACGCCGUUGCAGUGAAGCAUAUCAAUGGGCUCGGCUUCCAAUCGUCCUUUACUGGACAAUGACUUUGACCUUUGACCUCAAAUCAGGUAUGAUUACCCGCUGAACUUAAGC